rnacentral:rRNA from 1 species
AAAUUGAAGAGUUUGAUCAUGGCUCAGAUUGAACGCUGGCGGCAGGCUUAACACAUGCAAGUCGAACGGUAACAGGAAGCAGCUUGCUGCUUUGCUGACGAGUGGCGGACGGGUGAGUAAUGUCUGGGAAACUGCCUGAUGGAGGGGGAUAACUACUGGAAACGGUGGCUAAUACCGCAUAACGUCGCAAGACC